CGAAGCAGCGGCGCCUCCAUCUUUUCCUCACGGUUCUUCGCCGUUUCAAUCGAUCGCCGAAAUCCGAUGGCGUAUACUUUCUCCUCACGCCUCUCUCUUUCCUCCGUCGUCUCCGGUGAAUCAACGCCCACCGUGAUCCCUUUCUCCUCCGCGAAUUAAUUGGUGGAGAGGAGGCGUCGCCUCUCUCCCACGGCGUUGCCCUUGGUGAGCAGUCGUCCCCGGCGGCCGCCUUUCGCUGUUGCUCCAGCGGCGAAGUCACCAAUCGAGGGGAAAGGCGCCUAGAUCGUGGAACUCAGGUUCGUCAUCGCGCCUACGUCGUCAGCCUCGGCGAGUGAAGCCGCUGACCGCCCCGCCUCGCCUCUGCUGCGUCGGCAAUCGCUUCGUCGCCGGACAGCCUAAAGCUAAGUUCUUUAUACAACUUCUUUUAAUUUGUUUGGCAGUAGCUUAUGUUUUGAGAUGAAGUCUUGUACAUGCUAAUGUUGUGGGAAUCUAUGGAGCUCUAUGUUCUCUAAGUUCUUGGCUAAACCAUGUUGUUCUACAAUGAUGCAAGAGGGAUUUGUUGAGGGGGUUACCUCUCGAACUUGUAGCUUGAAUCUCUAGUUUCCAAAAUUCUCAAAGUUUACUCUCUCUUUGAAGCUCCUAUGGGUGUGGGAGUUGUCUGCAAGAACUCUGCAGAAACUCUACUCCAAGCCCUCACUCUCAAACUUGCCAUUGUGGCUGAAAAUUCAAAGUGUAUGAGAAAGGGAGUUCGAAUGUGGUGUGGAGUUAUUUAUAGGCGAAGUGUGGUGUACCCGUGAGGCCUUAAAUGGUUGUUGUACCAUUUGUUGUUAUGCUGCAGCAAAUCUCACUUUUAGAGAUCACAUUGCCUCUCCUUUAUGGCUGCAACUUGGUAUUUUAUGGGUACCUAGUACUAGUUAGUAAUUGGAAUUGUUUGAUUGUGCAGAGAAGCAGGUGGCUGUUGUGCCAAAGGAGCUGCAGGGCUGACUUGCCUCUUAUGGUGAUUCUUUGGUCAUCUAUAACUAAAGAAAAGUUGUCUCCAUCCCUAUGGUCGAGAAAAACUUGGUUGCCAAGCUGCUGUCCGGGACAGCUUGAUACCCCGGCCCAACGGCUGAUCGGAAAACGGCCGCAACUUUCGGCCCGGAAAAAGAGACCCGAUGCCAUUUGUUCCAUACACAUUUAUCUUUCCCUUUCUUUGUUUCCUUUAUUGGAAGCCUUGUUCUAAGUAUUGUAGUAUUUUGAAGAUUAGUUGUUCGUUUAUUGAGUAAGAAUUGCUAUUCGAAAAUUCCUGACAUUCUACAAUGUAAAUUCCAAUUGUUUAGUUCAUUUGAUUUUCACUUCAA